CCGGGCUCUCCUGCCUGCCCCCUGCACUCGGGACCAAGCAGGGCCUCAAGUGAGGUCUCUGAGCUGCACAGGCGACGAGCCGGCGAGAUCCAGGGCCGCUCGGGUCUGCUGCCACGCGCACUCCGAUGGCCCCCAGAGGCUGAGCGCAGCGGGUGCGGAGGCAGCGGCAUGGACCCCAGAGCUGAGCUGCUUCCCUGCGAGGUAGGGAGAAGGAAGAUGCCCAGACGAAGUUGAUCUCGGGGAAGGAGGCUGGGGAGCACCCUCCCCACGCAGGAGCACAGCGCAGCGAGUUUGGCUCGACCUCACUGAGCCCCGGCGCGCUCUGCAGCGCGGCCCCUCGGCCCCUCGGGAAAGCUCGGCCGGAAAGUUGUCCGCGGCGGUGCCCAGCGCGCUGUUGUGUAACCUCGGCGCUGCAGCCGCACCGGGAAGUUGCUGGCCCUCCCGCCAGCCUGGUUCGGUGGCGGCCCCGGGCGGAUUUCAUGGCCCGCGGGGAACGCGGGGCCGGAGUUGGUGUGGGGGAGCCCCCGCGCGUCCCUGCCCGCGGGGACCCCCGGCGUCCGCCCCUCACUGCUCGCCCGCCUCUCCGAUGCUCGCUGCGCUCCUCGCCGCCGCCGCCCGCUCGCCGCCGCUUGCCCCUCGGAGCCGCAGCCUAGGUCGCGGGGGAGAGAAUGACCGAGGUGCUGUGGCCGGCUGGCCCCAACGGGACGGACGCUGCCUUCCUGGCCGGCGCGGGCUCGCACUGGGGGAACACCAGCGCAGUCGCCUCCACCGCAGCCGCCGCCGCUGCCGCCGCCGCCCCGUACAGUUGCUCACUGACCAAGACGGGCUUCCAGUUCUACUACCUGCCGGCUGUCUACAUCGUGGUGUUCAUUAUCGGCUUCCUGGGCAACAGCGUGGCCAUCUGGAUGUUCGUCUUCCACAUGAAGCCGUGGAGCGGCAUCUCCGUGUACAUGUUCAACUUGGCCCUGGCCGACUUCUUGUACGUCCUGACUCUGCCCGCGCUCAUCUUCUACUACUUUAAUAAGACGGAUUGGAUCUUAGGGGACGUCAUGUGCAAGCUGCAGCGGUUCAUCUUCCAUGUGAACCUCUACGGCAGCAUCCUGUUCCUGACCUGCAUCAGCGCUCACCGGUACAGCGGCGUGGUGUACCCGCUCAAGUCCCUGGGCAGGCUCAAGAAGAAGAACGCGGUCUACAUCAGCGUGCUGGUGUGGCUCAUCGUGGUGGUGGGCAUCUCCCCCAUCCUGUUCUAUGCCCGCACCGGAGUCCGGAAAAACAAAACCACCACCUGCUAUGACACCACCACAGACGAGUACCUGCGAAGUUAUUUCAUUUACAGCAUGUGCACGACCGUGGCCAUGUUCUGUGUCCCCUUGGUGCUGAUUCUGGGCUGUUACGGGUUAAUUGUGAGAGCCUUGAUUUACAAAGACCUGGACAACUCACCUCUGAGGAGGAAAUCCAUUUACCUGGUGAUUAUUGUAUUGACUGUUUUUGCAGUGUCUUACAUCCCUUUCCAUGUGAUGAAAACGAUGAAUUUGAGGGCCCGGCUGGAUUUUCAGACCCCAGAAAUGUGUGCUUUCAAUGACAGGGUUUAUGCCACUUACCAGGUGACAAGAGGUCUAGCAAGUCUUAACAGUUGUGUGGACCCCAUUCUCUAUUUCUUGGCGGGAGAUACAUUCAGAAGAAGACUCUCCCGAGCGACGAGGAAAGCUUCCAGAAGAAGUGAGGCAAAUCUGCAGUCCAAGAGUGAAGACAUGACCCUCAAUAUUUUAUCUGAGUUCAAGCAGAAUGGAGAUACAAGCUUGUGAAGACAAAAGAAUCCCCAAACACCUACUUUUGUAUCAUGGUAGGAUACUUAACAGAGCCAAGCGCUUUCCUCCCCUCUAAGUUCCUAGUCUCCUGAUUUACUGAAGUACAUUGUUCCAGCUUCCAGAGAACUUUCUUUUGGAGCAUGGUUCCAGUGAGGAGGUGGACUAUGCCUGGAAAUACUCUUUUACUUCCUGUAAUGUUUUUUUUCCAGAAUGUUUCUUCUUUAGCCUCCUAUGUCAUGUAGUAGACAAUGAUGAUGCGUGAAAGCAUGCCAAAUAGUAACAAGAAUGAUAUCACCAACCCCUUCCAGGCAGAAAGAGGUAUUUGGAAAGACUUUGUGCUAAUGGUGAAAACAUACCAAACCAGAGGGUCAAGAUGAAGGUAGUGAUCUAUUGGCAGGAAAUGUGAUUCAGGAUAUAUGUUAAUAUAAGGAGGUAUUUUAAUAGUAAAGGUAGAAAUCAGUUGGCAAUCAAUUUUGAUGAAAUAACUUCCCAAACUAUGGAAUUUAUCUGUUAACUAAAUUAAGUGGGUCAAGUUCAAGGUGUUUCAUGGCUCACAAACUGGCAUCUUUGACACUUUGAACGUCACUGUGUGUUUGCAUAAAAAGACAAAUCAGGAAGAGAUACAACAGAGGGUAAGAUUCAGAGCUAAAACUAUGACAUCACCACUCGGCCAACUGUGGUGACUCUUGACCCUUCAAAAUCACUCUUCAUGGAUUAAAAGAUUGGAUGACAUCCAUCUGUUGAAGCCUUUGGGAUGUGGUAAAGCAUUAAAACUACAAGACAGCCAGAGGUGCAUGAAAUGUGCUACUGUAUUUCCUAGGACUCUUCAAUUCCAGUCCUUGGCUAAAAAUUCACACAAAGUUCACCAACUGUAAUGUAGAACUAGACUUUCUCAGUUUACUCAGGCAUUACAUUAAACUGCCUUUGGGUGUACAAGAGAUGUCAAUGCUUAUUGCAGCAGGACUUGGACUAGUGACAAUAAAGAUGUGUAAGUAGCUAGAGAUCUAUUGAAAAUUAACUUUGCUGGUCAAAUUGUACCUAUUGUAAUAAUAUUUAUUGAUGAAGCUCACAGUUCUUCAGUUGUAUAGACUGAAAAACUUUCUUGAGAAAUCCAGCAUACUCAUGUAAAUUAUAUUUAUUACAAUGUAUAAUAUGUCAUAGUGGUAUAUUUUACAUAAUAUAUGGUGAAUAGAUAAAAUGAGAGUUAUUGUAUAGCAUGCUUUUUAAAUAUUAGUAUCUUGAAAUGUUUAAGUCUUCAGAUUGUUUUAUAUAAAAUAUGAGAAUCUGAUCUGUGAUAUAAGUGGGUAACUUCCCUAAAAUGCUUUUGCAUGUUUGCCUUUUUAUUUAGGGUUCUUUCUCUGUAGACACAGUUUAGUGUUGAACUAUUAUAAAAUCAAUAGUAAAAACAAAAUAUCUUUGCCAGACUGGGUCAGUAUUGUCUACAUUUUAUAUGAUAUAGAAAAGUUUAUAUUAUCUUUUCAGGAUGUAGAAUUGUGCUCUCAAAUACGGUCAGAGCUUCCAUUUCCAAAUGCAAAAGUCUUGUCUUAAAGUCAAAGUAGACCUCUUAGAUUUUAGAAGUCUGGUGGGAUGGGCAUUAUAGAUAUAUUAGAAUUUAAGGAAAAACUAAGGAGAUAGGGAGAGAAAGAGACAGCUGUUGUAAUCAGCUACUGUGCUCAGUUCUGCUUAAAUUUUGUAUUGUGUUUCUUCUUAAGGUAAAAUAAUAUAAUCUUAAUUUCUUUGAAAUGGAAUUUCUAAGUAACACACUACCAGCAAGUUCAAUACUGAUAUUAAAUUUAAUCUCUUUUCUCUAGUUGAUAAUUUUAAUUCCAAGGUAUAUAACUGUAUAUUAUUUGGCUGCUAAAAUCUGUUACAAUUUUUUAUUCUGUUGUACAUUGUAAUAUAUACAUCAUUACAAAUUAAUAUGAAGGGUAAUAUAUGUUACAUGUCAAAAUUUGUGAAUUUGAAUUCUAGUAUGUUUUAGUGCUUUUGCAAAAAUGUUUAUUUUUAUAUUAUUGGUGAUUUUAAGAUAGAUAAUUGAGCUAGAUUUCUUUGUGAUUAAUAGUGCCAUUGAGAGCAGUAUGGAAACAGUGUUACUUGAUAUUUUGAGCUUUCUCAGGUUUAUAUAAAUCAAUGGUAGCUUAACAAAUUCCAGAUUAAUUGUAUGUAAUUUUGUUUUUAAUAAAAGAAAUUGUACAUUUCCUAUAAGUUAGCAUGCAGGUGUGUAAAACAUCAUGUGUUGUGUGCGUUUGUGUGUAUGUGUGUGUGUCUAAAGCAUGGCAGCCAACUUUGUAUCUGCUAUUUAUAAUAACAGCAAAGCUUUGAUAUGAUCCUGGUCACUAGAAUUGUAUAUACUAUAGACACUUAAAACUGAAAAGUCUCAAUAAAACUUUGAAAUGUGG